GCAUAUCAAUAAGCGGAGGAAAAGAAACUAACAAGGAUUCCCCUAGUAGCGGCGAGCGAAGCGGGAAGAGCUCAAAUUUAUAAUCUGGCACCUUCGGUGUCCGAGUUGUAAUCUCUAGAAAUGUUUUCCGCGUUGGACCGCACACAAGUCUGUUGGAAUACAGCGGCAUAGUGGUGAGACCCCCGUAUAUGGUGCGGACGCCCAGCGCUUUGUGAUACAUUUUCGAAGAGUGGAGUUGUUUGGGAAAUGCAGCUCAAAUUGGGUGGUAAAUUCCAUCUAAAGCUAAAUAUUGGCGAGAGACCGAUAGCGAACAAGUACCGUGAGGGAAAGAUGAAAAGCACUUUGGAAAGAGAGUUAACAGUACGUGAAAUUGUUGGAAGGGAAACGCUUGAAGUCAGACUUGCUUGCCGAGCAAUCGGUUUGCAGGCCAGCAUCAGUUUUCCGGGAUGGAUAAUGGUAGAGAGAAGGUAGCAGUUUCGGCUGUGUUAUAGCUCUCUGCUGGAUACAUCUUGGGGGACUGAGGAACGCAGUGUGCCUUUGGCGGGGGUUUCGACCUCUUCACACUUAGGAUGCUGGUGGAAUGGCUUUAAACGACCCGUCUUGAAACACGGACC
rnacentral:rRNA from 1 species